UGUUUGAUGUUUCGUAAAACU
ensembl:piRNA 21ur-5580 ncRNA